rnacentral:tRNA from 1 species
GUUCCUGUAGUUCAAUGGAUAGAGCAUCGGUCUUCGGAACCGAGGGUCUGGGUUCGAAUCCCGGCAGGAACGCCA